rnacentral:lncRNA from 1 species
UGCCAUCAAUCAAGACUUGUCCCUCUCCUACUGCCUCAACCACCUCCUUUUUGAUCUCCAACCGACCGAUCAAGCCCCACCCACCUCUGCUCCUUCCAACCAUUGCGGUCGCUUCUUUUUCUCCGUCUCCUUCUUGAUCUCCGGCGUUGAUCAAGCCCCACCCACACACUCCACUUCUUCACCGAUUGAUGGAUCAAGCCCCAUU